CCUACGGGUGGCAGCAGUGAGGAAUUUUGGUCAAUGGGCGCGAGCCUGAACCAGCCAAGUAGCGUGAAGGAUGACUGCCCUACGGGUUGUAAACUUCUUUUGUAAGGGAGUAAAGUGCGGCACGUGUGCCUUUUUGUAUGUACUUUAUGAAUAAGGAUCGGCUAACUCCGUGCCAGCAGCCGCGGUAAUACGGAGGAUCCGAGCGUUAUCCGGAUUUAUUUGGUUUAAAGGGAGCGUAGGUGGGUUGUUAAGUCAGGUGUGAAAGUUUGCGGCUCAACCGUAAAAUUGCAAUUGAUACUGGCAGCCUUGAGUACAGGUGAGGUAGGCGGAAUUCGUGGUGUAGCGGUGAAAUGCUUAGAUAUCACGAAGAACUCCGAUUGCGAAGGCAGCCUACUAAACUGCAACUGACAUUGAGGCUCGAAAGUGUGGGUAUCAAACAGGAUUAGAUACCCCGGUAGUC
rnacentral:rRNA from 1 species